rnacentral:rRNA from 1 species
CCCUUAGAUGUCCGGGGCCGCACGCGCGCUACACUGAAGGAAUCAGCGUGGCUUUCUCCCUGACCCGAAAGGGUUGGGAAACCCGUUGAAUCUCCUUCGUGAUAGGGAUUGGGGCUUGAAAUUGUUCCCCAUGAACGAGGAAUUCCCAGUAAGCGCGAGUCAUAGGCUCGCGUUGAUUACGUCCCUGCCCUUUGUACACACCGCCCGUCGCUACUACCGAUUGAACGGUUUAGUGAGGGCCUCGGAUUGGUCUCGGCCCGCUCUUUACCGGGCGGCGCCGUUGGUCGAGAAGACGCUCGAACUUGAUCGUUUAGAGGAAGUAAAAGUCGUAACA